rnacentral:rRNA from 1 species
GAUUUCUGACUUGGCGCACCUAGCCCGCCACGGUUACGUGUGUGAGUGCCGGGAUGCGCCUGUCACUUUUCUGGUAAACUAUUGUGCUCUUCAUUGAGUGUGAUAGGUAGCCAGAUAUUUUACUUUGAAAAAAUUAGAGUGUUUCAAGCAGGCGUUUUGCUAUGAAUACAUUAGCAUGGAAUAAUGAGUUAGGACUUCGGUUCUAUUUUGUUGGUUUCUAGGACUGAAGUAAUGAUUGAUAGGGAUAGUUGGGGGUGCUAGUAUUCAGUGGCCAGAGGUGAAAUUCUUGGAUUCACUGAAGACUAACUUAUGCGAAAGCAUU